rnacentral:ncRNA from 1 species
CGGGACGCCCGUGGGUCGCUCCGGACGAGUGGUGGGCGUACCCGGUCAGGCCAAGACGCCCCGCG